UUUUAGCACACAGUUCUAGAAUGGGAGCAUGUGACACACACGGACAGCAACACCCAGGAGGGAGAAGAGUGGCUGGAGCGAGACUGAAUGGACGAGACGGCCUUUUCUUGGAUUCUGGCUGCAUCGCAGAGGGCACCGACAGGAGGAAACUGAGACGUGGCAGAGAAACAGAUUGUUCUUGAAAAAUGAAGCUGGACACAGAGGCCUUGGCCGCCGAGGGAGAUCAGGGGGAGUGUGUGCCCAGAAAACUUACAGCCUCAGCUGAGUCACCCAAGUUUCCAUUGUAAAACUCUUUGGCGCUUCAAGGAGGUUCCACUAGGGGGCGCAGUUAUGAACCACCUCUAAUUUGACCAAGCU